rnacentral:lncRNA from 1 species
UUAUUCAUGUGUGUUAGUCAUAAUAUUAAUUUGCUGUGUGAAAUGAUCGAUGUACUUUCCUAAUUGCUUCUCUAAGUCGUGAUGCUCCUAGUAAUGUGACCAAACUUGAAUAUAUGGCUUUAAAUGCUAUCAUCCUCUAUUGGCAUUUGCUCUUUAAAUAGUUGGUUAAUAUUUAUUACUACAGAUUAUUUUUGUGUCAAAACAGUAACUUAGGUGGUCAUUUUUUAUCAUUAACAUGACUUGAGCACUUAGUGUGUUUGGAAUUUGUACCCCGAUAUUUGUAUCCAUUUUGCUUGAGUUCGGUCAAAUUAUUUGCUUUAUAUUGGUUAAGGGAUGACUAUGACUUGCUUUAAAUAUGUUGAUGUUUUAUUAUUCACGGGUACUAAUCCUUAUUUUCCCAUUUUAUUGCAUGUGAAAUUCGCCCGAGUUCGCUACGAACUCCUACCUUUUUUUUUGCAUUUCGGGAGAGCCUUAAAGGCUCAAAUUUCCUUCCGAGUCAGCCAAACUAUCAAAUAAACCGACGCACAGGUUCCGAAGUUGAAAGAAGCGACAGAUCGAGAAGUUGAAAGGAUUGGAUUUAAAGAGGCCCAUUCUUCUUUAAAGAAAAUUUGUAUUUUGUCAUUUAUUGGGCCUAAGCCUAUUUAAUUAUUAUUAUUAUUUAUGUUAAAGUUUAGGACAGGUGAAAGAAUUGGGCCUUGGCCCAAAGAGAAAACAUUCUAUAUUUGUGUUAGAUUAGGACAGGUGCAGGUGACUCAAACGGGCCAAAGGCCCAAAAUGAAAAUGGGCCCAAAUACUGGCCCAGGCGAACAGAAAAUCCAGACUUGGGCCCAAAUCUUCUUUCCUUAUCUAUUUAUUUGCUAUAACAUGUUUUUAUGUGCUUAUUUAAUCUUAAGGUUCCCUAAUCAAUGCCCCAAAGGAUACCCAUUCUGAACUAAUCGCUUAAACUAAACUAUUCAUUCUUUACUUGACUUAACAAAUAAAUGAACAAAUAAAUAAGUUUUACAAAAUAUUUCGCUUAGAUAAUAUUUCAAUAAUUUUCUUUUUUUUAAAAAUAGUUUUAACUACAAA